CGACCGGCGCACGGGUGAGUAACACGUAUCCAACCUGCCGAUAACUCGGGGAUAGCCUUUCGAAAGAAAGAUUAAUAUCCGAUAGGAUAUCAAGAUCGCAUGAUCUUGAUAUUAAAGAAUUUCGGUUAUCGAUGGGGAUGCGUUCCAUUAGUUAGUUGGCGGGGUAACGGCCCACCAAGACGACGAUGGAUAGGGGUUCUGAGAGGAAGGUCCCCCACAUUGGAACUGAGACACGGUCCAGACUCCUACGGAAGGCAGCAG
rnacentral:rRNA from 1 species